GGACUGUGGCUCCGUGGUAGAGCACUCGCCUAGCACGGGCGGGACCUGGGUUCGAUUCUCAGCACCA
rnacentral:tRNA from 1 species